GGGUUCCUGGAAUCAAAAACAGAACUACAAUAAAUGUGUGCUUUAUUCUCUUCAAUUCUGAUUGAAGACUUGGAAACUACUCUUUACCAUUUCUCUCUUUUUUUCCUUCCUUCUCUUACUCAACUUUCCCUCUCUUGCUCUCAUUGUCUUGUUCUCACCACCACUAAGCUGAUUUGAAACUUUACAAUUCUGAAUCUAAAUUGUUUCAAGGAUUUCUUUGCUUUUCUUGCUUUUUAUAGUUUUUUUUUUCCCCCACUUUCUUCUUUUUUUCCUCACAAUAUUUUUUCUUUUGUUACUUUGAAGAACCACUGUCAUGCAUGUUUGUAAAGUAAGUUUUGCUGCAAGAGGGAAAGAUUUUGUGAUCAUUAUGAAGAGUUCAGAUUGCCUAUUCUUUCCAUUCACCAAAAACAUUCUACUUCAAUUUUAGCUCAUCAAUGGAAAAAUGCUAGAUUAUAUCGUCAAGUCCUUGAAGCUCUGACGUGAUCCCCAUUUCUAAGGGUUAAAUUAAGAAAGCCCAGGGUCAUAAAGAGUAUAAAGGCUGGAAACACUUGCAAAUUUCUGAAAACACAUGUAUGCAAUCUGUAUGUGUCUUGAUUUACCAAACCAUUUCUUUUGCCAUUCUAAAACAGAAUAUCUGGAAUCUGUUUAACGUAACAGCGAUCAAGUAGCUCUUUUGAUAUCAUAUAUAUGCUGACAUCAUGCACAAAACUUGAAGCUUUCAAAAACCUUCUACUUAAUGAAUCUCUUCCUAUGAUUUUAUUUUUAAGCCGCCUAGUUUUCAAUAAAAGAAAAGGUUUGUUGUGUGUUUUUAACCCAGAAUCUUGUCAAUUUUGUUCUUUUAUUGGGUAUACAGUACAUUCCUGUAGUCACAUUAAUAGAUCUUCUGUCAGUGUGUAAACUUAGAAGGAUCUGUUACUUCUCUUUCAUGCAGGGUGUUUCGAGGGCAUUAGUUGAAAAUGCAAGAACCUUAAGAUUGCCUACUUAUUUGCAUGAAAGAUUAAGUUUAAUCCGUAAUGCAAAGACGAAACAUGAAGAGGAAGGAAUUGCUCCACCGAUUGAUAUAAUCACCUCGAGAACAAUCCAUGGCAUGGAGUAGAUGAGUGGGCACUCAAGCUAGUAAGGUAACAAAAAGAAUUUUUAAAACUUUAAAAUGCAAAAUGUUCAGUGGAAAUAUUAUUCCGUGCUGAGCAGGAAAGUAGGUUGUCUGCCAAUGAACGAAUGACUGAUAAAAGGCACCCAUCCAUGAAUAUCUCCGUAUUAUCCUGCUCAAAAUCAACACAUUGAUAUGAUCAAAUUUCACAGAGAGUGAGAAGAAGGGGAAUCUAAGUGAUCUACAUGCAAAUGCAUGCAUAUAUGCUUAUUUCUUUUAAAAUGUAGAAAAUUAUUUUCUACAUGUAUUGAGAAUCUAAAAUUUGCCAAAUGGCUUUUUUUAGCUUUUCUUUGUAGCUAGUUUUUGUAAAUACAGCACAUCUUAUAAUGUUGUUUUCCAAACUAGCACGAACAAUUUAUUUUGCAGGAUGAGGUAAAUAAGCUUAUUAGUACAACACUAAGAGAACGGGAGAGAGUUAUUAUACGUCUUUACUAUGGCCUGGACAGUGAAUGCCUUACUUGGGAGGAUAUUAGUAGACGGUGGGUACUGCUAAACACUAUCCAUGACAUCUCUCAGGUGGCCAAAUAUGCUGAUGAUAUAUAGACAUACUUUUAAAAAUGCUCUGGAGUUGAUUCUGUCAUGCAUGCUCUGGAGUUGAAAUUAAAGAAAGAAUGCUGAUGCUAAAGCUAUAUUAUAGGGGAGCACUUUUUACUUUUAAAUCGUUGCAUGUGGUCUAUAAUCAAAUCAUUCAGAUGAACUUUAGCCCUCUGAUUGAUGCAAAAAUUUGUGUGGUGAUAUUGACAUGAUUCAAAUUUCCAUUUAUAGAUACAACUAACUAGGCAACCAAAGGAAAUGAUCAAUAAUAUUAACAUGGUGCAAUGCAUCUAUGAACUCGAUCAUGUACUCUUUUGAACCUUUACAUUGGUGACAUUGUGAUUUCUAGGUCCUUUUCCCUGCCUGUUUAUUGAAAUCCUUCUUUGCUUUUCUUUUGCUUUCAUUUUUUUUUUUUUUUUGGGUCCAAAUUAACUUAGUAGUUUUGAAUGUCAUU